AGCAAGCUAGUGAUCUAAUGGGGUAAC
rnacentral:piRNA from 1 species